UGGAGCUGCUCAGCACAGGAUGAGCCUCCCUCAUCCUCACCUCACAUGGGAACUGACUCUUUCUCGGGGCCAUGGAGCAGACUGAAGAUGGCAAUAAACAAUGCUCUCAAAAUAAACUGGGGCAAAGAUCUCCACUGAACAAUACAUGCUUGCUAAAACUACACUACAUACUAGACAGACGCCAAUGGCAUCUGCAUGGAGAGCUUUUAUGCACAUAGGUUUAGCAUGUGUGAUUCAUGCAAACUACAUAACACCAAUGCAAUCCUAUGGCAUAUCAGAAGAAUCAUAGAGAAAAUGCACACAGAAGAAGAAAGAGUGAACCUCAUCCAAUAUGGCACAUUACUUUUACACAUUCUACUUCCUGAUAAAUGACAAGAACAGACAUUUGAGGCAUGUGGAUAAGUUUCAGUUGCCCUCUGAAGAAUAGCUAUUCUAUUAAAGAAAGAAUAUGUCAAAUGUCGUAUCUGGCACAGUUCUGUUGAUUUCUAUAUAUCUGCACAAUUUAAGGCCUAACAUGUUACCACUGAAAACAAUUUGAAUGACUCAGAAUCACACUACCAGGAUUAUAUAGCAUCAUUUGGCAUAUCCAAUUUGAAAGAAUGCAACACUUAAUAAAAUCUAUCUUAAUUUA